rnacentral:rRNA from 1 species
GAUGAACGCUGGCGGCGUGCCUAAUACAUGCAAGUCGAGCGAACAGACGAGGAUCUUGCUCCUCUUACGUGAGCGGCGGACGGGUGAGUAACACGUGUAUAACCUACCUAUAAGACUGGGAUAACUUCGGGAAACCGGAGCUAAUACCGGAUAAUAUAUUGAACCGCAUGGUUCAAUAGUGAAAGACGGAUUUGCUGUCACUUAUAGAUGGAUCCGCGCCGCAUUAGCUAGUUGGUAAGGUAACGGCUUACCAAGGCAACGAUGCGUAGCCGACCUGAGAGGGUGAUCGGCCACACUGGAACUGAGACACGGUCCAGACUCCUACGGGAGGCAGCAGUAGGGAAUCUUCCGCAAUGGGCGAAAGCCUGACGGAGCAACGCCGCGUGAGUGAUGAAGGUCUUCGGAUCGUAAAACUCUGUUAUUAGGGAAGAACAAAUGUGUAAGUAACUAUGCACGUCUUGACGGUACCUAAACAGAAAGCCACGGCUAACUACGUG